AGCAGGAUCAUUAUCGUAGAGUUCUCACAAACUCAUAUUUUAAAAUCAAUCAGUCUCCUGCAGUUUUUGUGAUUCAAGAACUGUAUGUGAGCAAAUUUGCCCUGCGAACCAACGUUGUUUCUUUUACGACGAAGUCGCAGGGCCGGGCCGACUCGAGGCCCAACCCCACGGAUACAACGCUCGACGAUGGAUAUCUUGGUUCAGAGCUCGAUGAAGGUCGCAGCGAACUGCGAUAAAUGUCACGACUUGCAGAUAUUUGGGAGCUGACAAGUUACUGAAUGCAAAUUGCGGUCGGUUCAACCCGGCCAUGUAUUGCAGAGUGUUGUAGAUUCUCUGUCACCCAUGUUUUUGUUCAAUCGAACGAGAAUGAUGGAAUCUGGGGUCGUGUGAGAGGGCGAGCGAGCGGGCAACUGCACACACUCGUCCUCACCACAACCCUCAAAUGAAUCACAACAAACAACCACACUCAAAAGAGAUUGUGCGAAGAAGUUGUUACGAGCCGCAAUUAUAAUAUUUAUUGUUCUCGAAGCAAACAAAACCUUCUUUGAAACAGCUUUUGGAUGGAGAGUUACCAACACACCAACCUCUGCAAUGCAGGAAGACCCGCUGAACUUAAGCAUAUCAAUAAGCGGAGGAAAAGAAAACAACAGUGAUUCCCUUAGUAACGGCGAGUGAACAGGGAACAGCCUAAGCUUGAAUCCACGGAGACUGGGAAUCCGGUCCUGCGGAAUUGUAGUGCUAGGAGCUUUGGGCAAGUGUGUGUGAGUGCAGCCAAGAUGAUCUGAGAAGUUCCAUCCAUUGAGGGCUACGGUCCCGUUGGCGCUGCACGCCGCGCAUGCAACAACGCCCAAGGAAUCCACGAGUCGCACAGUUUGGGGAUUGCUGUGCAAAUACGCUGGUGUUCUUCAGCGAAGGCUAAAUAUGGCUCUGAGACCGACAGCGAACAAGUAGUGUGAACGAAAGAUGAAAAGAACUUUGAAAAGAGAGUUAAAAGGACUUGAAAUCGUCGGGCGAUAAGGGCAUGGGACCCCUCGCUCACGUUGUGCGCAAGCGCGACGUGUGACAGGCACGCUUAGGCCGUUCCGAGCCGCUGCGUCAGCUUUUCCGCCUGCGGGUUGGGGGAGUGGCGUGGUAGAUUAGCCGGGCGACGGUUUGAGCGGAAAGAAGCAGCGGAAGAACCCUGGGGAGCAGCGGUGCUUGAGGGGCGAGUCGCGGAACCGAAAAGAGCAGCGGCCUCGAAUGGGGCAGUUCUCUAGCGGAAUCGCGGGGCGCAAUCGCAAGACGCGUGAACUGGGGCGUGCAAGCCUGUCGUUGAAAGGAUCUCAUACCACCCGUCUUGAAACACGGACCGAGGAGUCUACCGAAUGUGCGAGUGUUAUGGUGAGUGAAACCAGAGCGGGCAACCGGCGGACGACGCGUAAUGAAAGUGACAAAAUUCGAUCUGUGAUCCCCCCGGCGCCGAGGUUCCGGAAGGGGUGCAACAGAGCUCGAUCCGGAUCAUUUAUGAAAAGGAUUUGAAGUGAAGCACAUUCGCUGGGACCCGAAAGAUGGCGAGCUUUUCCCAGGCCGGCUGAAGCCAGGGGAAAACCUUGGUGGAGGGCCGUACGCAGUACUGACGUGCAAAUCCGUUUGCCAGAUCUGGGUAAAGGGCGCAAGACUCAUCGAGCUAUCUAGUAGCUGGUUCCCCAC
rnacentral:misc_RNA from 1 species